UUGGUGGCGGACGGGUGAGUAACGCGUGGAUAACCUGCCGUAUACCGGGGGAUAACACUUAGAAAUAGGUGCUAAUACCGCAUAAGCGCACGGCUCCGCAUGGGGCAGUGUGUAAAAAUUCCGGUGGUAUACGAUGGAUCCGCGUCUGAUUAGCUAGUUGGCGGGGUAACGCCCACCAAGGCAGCGAUCAGUAGCCGGCCUGAGAGGGUGGACGGCCACAUUGGGACUGAGACACGGCCCAAACUCCUACGGAAGGCAGCAG
rnacentral:rRNA from 1 species